CCUACGGGUGGCUGCAGUGGGGAAUAUUGCACAAUGGGCGCAAGCCUGAUGCAGCCAUGCCGCGUGUGUGAAGAAGGCCUUCGGGUUGUAAAGCACUUUCAGCGGGGAGGAAGGCGGUGAGGUUAAUAACCUCAUCGAUUGACGUUACCCGCAGAAGAAGCAUCGGCUAACUCCGUGCCAGCAGCCGCGGUAAUACGGAGGGUGCAAGCGUUAAUCGGAAUUACUGGGCGUAAAGCGCACGCAGGCGGUCUGUCAAGUCGGAUGUGAAAUCCCCGGGCUCAACCUGGGAACUGCAUUCGAAACUGGCAGGCUAGAGUCUUGUAGAGGGGGGUAGAAUUCCAGGUGUAGCGGUGAGAUGCGUAGAGAUCUGGAGGAAUACCGGUGGCGAAGGCGGCCCCCUGGACAAAGACUGACGCUCAGGUGCGAAAGCGUGGGGAGCACACAGGAUUAGAUACCCUUGUAGUC
rnacentral:rRNA from 1 species